CAAUAGCGUAUAUUAAAGUUGUUGCAGUUAAAAAGCUCGUAGUUGGAUUUCUGGUUGAAGCGACCGGUCGGGCGUUGAUUCGUCUGCACUGGAGUCGGUUUUGGCCAUCCUCUAGGAAAGUGCGUCUGGUAUUAAGUUAUCGGGCGUAUGAUCCUGGUCUUUUACUGUGAAAAAAUUAGAGUGUUUAAAGCAGGCCUUUGCCUUGAAUACAUUAGCAUGGAAUAAUAAGAUAGGACUUUGGUCUAUUUUGUUGGUUUGCAGACCGAAGUAAUGAUUAAUAGGGAUAGUUGGGGGUAUUUAUAUUCCGAUGUCAGAGGUGAAAUUCUUAGAUUUUCGGAAGAUAAACUUAUGCGAAAGCAUUUACCAAGGAUGUUUUCAUUAA
rnacentral:rRNA from 1 species